UGUAAGGUUUGGCAGGAACCAAAAGUGAUGCCUUCCUCCGGUGAUGAGCCAGAUAAUAAGGAAAAGGAUGCAGCGAGCUGUAUUAAAACAGUUUGAAGAUUUGUUACUGUAGCAUUCACAACGUACAACGACGUCUGGUAUUUCACCUACUGAGGAAAUGAAGGUUACUGACACUUACCAACGGCAAGAAGAAGAAUACUGGCUACAAAGCAGCCUGCACCUACGCUGAGGUAAUAUACACCAACGCGCAUUUCUGCUGGCCAAAGUGGAAACAGAGUUGCAGCUAUAACAGCAAUCACUAAAUAGAAAGAUAAGAAGAAAAGUGUGAGAAACAUAAUUAGUUCUUCCUGACAUAUAUAUGAAGGUUCUAGGCUUACCAUUAUUCAAGGUACUGGCUUAGCAACCUAUGAGUUAGGUAAUACUGUUCUUUGCCUUGACUGAAACCUUUUCUAGUCCUGCUGCUGCUUUCAUUAUGGGUAGACAGACAUCUAGGAUAGUACCACAUUCAGAAGUACUUGAUCACCAGAGAGAAUGCUUCUGAAAAGGCAAAAAGGCGAGCAGCGAGCUGCCAGUAACCUGCCCAGCAGGAAGCAGUCAGUGAGCUCAGUGCAGUCCUUGGGCACCACCAACUGAUCAGAGAGCUGAAUGCAGCCCCAGGGAAUGACACUUGAAUCAGCUCUCAGCUGUGAAAAGCUCAAAGGUACAGGCUGGGGCGCUGGACUAGCAGCACCAUUAGCUGUGAGCUCACUGAUGUGAGUUAACAUCAAGAUUACAUUCAAUUAAAAAAAAUAGUUGAUUUGGCCUAAACUACACAAACAAAAGGCCAAGGGUCAGAAAGGUAUUAUUUAUAGUUUAAAAUAAUGGCUUUACUAUAUUUCACAUUUUUAUAUAAUCCACAAGUUGCCGAUGAGGCAACGUACUCAUUAGUUUACAGUGACUGAAAUAAACAGCCUGCAGCCUUGUGCAAAUUCAGACAUUUUCUAAAGCAUGUUUCAGCCAUGUCCUCUUCUGUAUUUUUUUAUUUUAUUUGCAAGUGCCCUCCCUCCAGCCCGAGAUCAAACCUCACGUAAUGUGACUGCUGUCAAAUCAUGCUAAAAUGGAACAAAAAAUGUUUUGUCUACAAAGAAGAUAAAUUUCUCCAAGGAGAGAUGCUCCUGUUUGGUAGUACACCUGCAUUUAUGGUUGUUUCCUAACGUCUGCUCUUACUUACCAAGUACAAGUCCCAUGGCAAAUGUUUUAAAGUGAACAGGGUCAUAGAUCCACACAUACACCUACAACAGAAAUAAUGUUUAACACUUGGAAAAAAAGCUGACACAGGACUUUUUUCCCCUCACUCAAAUUCGUAGUGCCACCCUAUGCUGCUUUGCACUGAACAAAUGGCACUUCAGUCAGUACCAGAGGAAGCACUACACUUUGAAUAGCACUUGAAACACGUUUGUGUCAGUGAGAAAGCUGCCAUAAGAGACAAACAGCCACAGGGCUGCAUGCCUGCAUGCCCAUACUGAUUGCCUCCGGUAUGUACUGAUCAUAAUCUGAGCCUGAGGGCAGGAGCCAAAGGUACUGUGCAGUGCAGUGGCUGUGGAAGGUUCCUGCUGGGAGGGAAUGCAUUUCUGGGCUGGCUAAGAAAAACAUGGGAAGUUUCAAAACGCAUCUGUUGAAGAAUUACUUCAUGAAAUAAGUUAUUACCCAGUUAUAUAAACCGGGUUCCAACAGUAAAACCGACGGGGAAAUGCAAGAGUCAGAGUAUUAUUGAAUCAAGGUGAUUUUUCAUGUAUUUUUGUUUUUCCAUUAUUCAUCAGUAUUGCUCAGCAUGAAGCACAGAAAAAGUUUUGUAAAAAUAAAAAAAUUUCUCAAGUCUGCCAAAUAAAAAAAUAAAUUGCUUCUGGCUUUGAAGAGAUUCCUUUAAGAGGAAAAAGAAAUAGAAAACCACCACCAACAACCAAGCAAGACGUAUGGAACAAAGCAUCAAGCUGCAAUGCUCAAUUCAGCUCAAGUCCCAUCUGAUGGCCUCAACCACAUACAUUUGCACCCUCUGCCACAGUAUGCUUAUUUAAAUGUCUACAGUUGCAACACUCAAUACCAAAUGUUUGUGUGAGGAUUUUGGCUCCAUCUGAACCAAGUAGUUCAAGCCCUAGGAAAGAUGCUUCCUGCUAGUUUUCUGAACUUGCUAGUUUUCUGAACUUUUCUGAACACAAUUAAUCUUAUUUUUAUUCUCCAACGAAACUGUUUUCACAGUUUCGAUGCAAAGAAGCAGCCAAGUACUGGAUGUAAAGUACCCGAAGGUCACCUAAGAAGAGGCAAUACAACUUUCAGUGAUGCAACAUGAAGUAUUUAAUAUUCUGCUUCACUUCACGGCCCAAAACAUAAACUACUGGGAAUUAUGUUUUCUAUUAGACAUCUAAUCUCUAAUCUCCUUGCAGAUACCUAAAAUUUGAUGUUGCAAGAUCAGCCAUCACAUUAUCAUUAUUUCUUCAUUCAACAGGACAAGACAGAGUCUGUGGAAUUUCAGUAAAUUACCUGACAAUAAUACACUGACAUUAAAUUUAGGAAGUACCCAUAAAUCUUACCUCGUUUCCAUCCAAGAAAACUUGGUCUUCGUGUGGCUCAAGCUUAAAUUUCCUCUUAGUUUCCUUUUUUUUUGGCGUUCCUGGGGUCUCAUCCUGAGGACAAACACAAACCAUACAUAAAAAACACAUACAGGGUCUUAAUUUCUACUAUUUGAAUGUAUUGAAUCUGACAACUUUUCACAAACUUAAAGUAUCAAAUGUGAUCAUAACUAAAGAUGUUUUAUUUCCUCCUGUUCUCCUGGGUAGCUAAAGAUAAAGGAAUAUUGUAAGGACAGAGAAAUUUUAUUUUACAUGCUAUAUAAAGACAAAGACUAUAACCCCAGGAUUGCAUUAUGUGUUCAAAUGCAUAUCAUAGCUCCACUGACAUUAACAUAGUCUGCAUAGAGACCACCAACUCUCUUGCAAUUCUUUGGUAGCUUGGUGCCACAUUUACCACAUGGACAUCUUUCAGAAUCAAUUUCUGCCAUUUUAUUCUCUACCCUCCUCAAUUCCUUUCAGAUCUUGUGCCUGUCUCCUGUCUCCUUUCUCUUUGCUAGAAAUUAGCUUUCUAAUUUUUGCCCUCUGUUACGUUAGCAUCCGCUGGCUUAUAUCAGCUACUAAAAUAUCAGUUUGAUAAUUAAUGAUUAAAGAUUAACAUUUAAUAAUGUAACACUUCAGAUAACAGGGAACCGGAGGAGUCCAUAACUUUCAGUAUCAGCAUUUUAAGGUAUCUCAAGAGUUAGAUAGCCUUAUAUUGGCUUCUUUGUUUAGAUUGCCAGCAGGUUUGUUUUAAUUCCUUUAUUGGCCAUGUAACUUUCUUCUGAGAUCCAGACCUCUGCACAGGCAGACUAUGCCUUUAAUUGUGUGCCAUUACCUCACUUCAGAGUGUUGGAGCUGGACUAACUUCUGAGGCUAUCCUACCAACUCUUGCUGGAUUCAACCACUGAACACAUAACAAAACACACCCGUCUUCAUCGAGUGUCAACUGUAAAGAAAGUAAAUGAGAGGUCUGUGAAGACUAAGCACUACGCAGAUUACAAAUGGAUCUCCCUUACACCAACAUGGCCCACUACUACAGAACUAUUCACAAGCACCAAGUAUCACAUCCCAGACCUUCUUACCACCAAACAUGGCAAAAAAGCUUGUUUGUUUUAUGUGUGCAGCUGCACUGCUUGGAGAUGUUAGGUCACAUACACACAUGUCAAUCUAUGCUAGAGUACACUUGCACAAAGCAUCAGUGCCCACUGAAGCUGAACAGAAGCAGUUUUUUAUUAACUCAGCCCACGUUACAAGGUGAUGAGGUACACAGAGACACAAAUGAAGCAUCUGCUUUGAUCUGAAUCAGAACUGGAACUCCAAAAUGUAAAAAGGUGUAUUUUAGAGACUAAGAUUGGCAAAAAAAAGAAAAAAAAAAAAAACAUCUCACGCUUUGGAACAACCAACCAAAUUUUUAAGCCCACGUAACCUUCACAUCAUCACUGUCUUCUCUGUUGACAGGAUUGUCUCUUUUCUCCAAGACCUCACUUACCUUCUUACACUCUUCUUUUUCACCAUCCUUUUUCUUUUCUUUCUCCUUCUUAGUUUUCUCAUCUUUGCUGCUUUCCUUCUUGCUUUUCUUCUCUUCUUCUUUCCCACUCUCAGCCUUUCCUUUUUCCUUUUCUUUCUUUGUAUCCUUGUCAGGUUUCAUUUUCAUCACUUUUAAUGCUCGAUGAAAGAACUGUUUUUUCAGGAGUCUUAAAAUGAAAGAAGUGAAAUGACAUAUAUAAGUGUUGCUGGAAUAAUUAUGCUUACAUGCAAUUACAUUAUUAGAUACCAGUCUAGAUUACCUAUUGAAGAUAAUCAUGUAAAGCAUAACUGAACGACAGUGAUCACCAUCGUGAACUACCACGUCUCAUCUCUUGCUUGGCUCUUUUUCACCUGUUCAAAACUUAAUAAAACCCAAACUGUUCUGUGGCUGUAUUUUGAACAGAUAUAAAAGAAUAUAUGAGAUGUAGGGAUGUAGGAAGGAGAAAGCCAUCAGGCCAAUUUAAUUAGCUUUCCCAUUAAUCCAAUGCUAUUUGCAAGUCCAGGCCAGUGUAUUUUGUUGCAAAAAUAAGAAAGUGGACAUACAGCUCAUAAAGGUCUUGGUAGGAGAUGCAUGUUGAAUAAAAGUACCAUUGGAACUGUGGCACUUGUGCAAGCAUUCCAGUCAUGUCAGCUACAAACAUACCUUACAGCAUGAACAUACUCAGCUGGCUGGGCCAAAGGAGGUGGUACUUGGCAGUGUUGAAGUUGUCACCAACAAGUAAUGUCCGCAACAGGACCAUACCCAAAUUCCAUGCAGGAAGAGCAGAAUACUGCUCUUCAGACUGAGGGCAAGCAUUGAUGUAUGAAAUCCAAGGGCCAAUUCACCUCAAAAAACCUGGCCCUAUACAUCAGAUUGAUUUGUACUUGGUUUCUUUCAUCUCUUGCUGCAGAUCAAGUCCUUAUGCUGGACUGCUUAUUAAAUUAGGUAAACUGACUGCCCUGAGCAGUGGCAACUCCCCCAGCUUUAUCAUUCAACAUGAUGCUGUGUGUAUAGAACAUCCCUUUGGCCAGUUUGGGUCAGCUGUGCUGGCUGUGUCACCUCCCAGCUCCUGUGCACCCCCAGCUCCUCGCUGGUAGGGCAGCAUGAGGAUCUGACAUGUCCUUGGUUCUGUGCAGCACUGCUCUGCAACAACUAAAACAUCAGGGUGUUAUCAGCACAAUUCUCAUCUUAAAUCCAAAACACAGCACCGUACCAGCUACUAUAAUCUCUAUCCCAGACAACAGCAGGACAUGGGUAUAUUUAAAUAGAAAAAAACCAAACAACAGCAAAAAGAAACCUUCCUUCAGACAACUGUUUAUGUAGUUUCUAGCAGCAGAAAAUCACUUUCUUGGGAGCAACUAUUUUCUUCACAGCUGUAUGUUUAGGUUGGCUCAGGUACCAAGCAGCCCACAGGUAUGGCCUUCAGGGCAGCUCUUUCCCAACCUCUCAGCUCUCUUUAGAUCUGCUGAAUGCAGCAUUAUUGCUGUAGUUUAUCUGUACCAAAUCCCCCGAUAGGAAAACUUCCUGAACUAAGAUCAAUAUGUUAAGUGCACCAGGAGACCUUAUGCACUGGAGCAGUAUAAUGAAUUCAGACAGUAAAGUGUUUUAAAUAUGGAACUACUCAAUGCAGUUGACACAGGAUGAGGGAGCAGAACCUGAUCCUUGCUUUCUGUUGGACAGGACAGGCAAAACAAUCGCAAUAGCUACACCAAGAGAGUUAAGGUACUUGCUUUUAAUAUAAGUGCCUAAACAACCUUAUCUUGAAGAGACUACAGGGUAACAUUCAAAACCCUGAGAGCAGUUUUGAUGGCCAAAGGUGGUCUUAUCAUUAUCAGUGAUGUAGGAGUAUGCAAGAGAAACCGAGUUGCAGCCAUGGUAUGGUGCCCAGCGGAUCAUCGGUGCACCAAGUGAUACUGGUGGCAAAAAGCAGAGAGCAGAGGGUCAAAUCUGUUUUAUUUGCAUGCUAUGUAGGCAUUCAUUUCACUGCAUUGGACUUAGCCAACUGCUGUCUCACCUGAGGCUUUAGUAAUCAAAGAACAAAUGUACAGGCACUUACCUCAGUCCAAAGAUUCUCGAAAGGAAGACUUAUUUUUCUGCUUGCAUUAAAAUAAUGCUUGUAUUUUUCUAUGUUUUCUUAAAAAAGUCAGCACAGGGAUUAAAGUUCACUGAACCAGCUCUGCCUCAGCCCUAGAAUUGAGGGCAGAAUCUCACCUUGCUGGAUGGCUAUGUAGAAGAGGCCCCAAGAACAGACUAAGUAUUAGCCAUAAUCUUAAUUUCUAAGUGGCUUUUGCAGAGCUCAUCAAGAGUAAGAUGCAGCCCCAAAAAAGGGCAGAAGAGUCAGAAUAUGCUGCUCAUCUAAACAAAGCACUCUGAGUACGCUAAGCGACAGAGACAUACCACACGAGAGGCAUAGCAAGAACCUCAAAGUUCUGCUUUUGCCAUCGUGGCAGACACAGGAAGGAGAUGUGAGAACUCUGAUCCUACGUACUUAAAAUAACUUCAGAAUUUAGGAAAACUUGCUGCACCAAGCAGCUUAAUGAAAGCAUGAGAGAGCUCUGAAACAAAGAUGAUGAAACUAUGUUGUGUCUCUUUCUCAUCUUACACCCUCAAACAUAGUAAUAAAAAUACAGUCUUUAUUUUUACGUAGUAACACAGAUGUCUUAGAGUGCAUGAAUUCCUUUCAUCAAAGCAGCCUAAGCAAGAGUGGUUCUACAUAACUGAGACAUCUUGACAACUAUACUCAUUAUUAAAAUUGAUGAAUUAGGUCAUACCUGUUGCAGUAGUCAACUACAGACUCUCGAGUUGUAAAUAAAGCUUCCUCUCCUUUCUUGGCCUUUGCCCACUUAGAAUCCAGGAGGCAAUCCACAGCUUUUGAGGCUAGAGGAAAAAGUGAGAAAAAAUCCCCAAACAUUAAACAUUUAUUUUACCACCGUCCACACUCCUUGAACCACACCACGCCAGUCAGUCUAUCCCAGUGAUGUUUCGUACCCUCUCCAUUUUUAAGGUAAACAAAUGGGUACUGUUCUGAAGUACUUGACAACUACCUUCUUCUAAACCACAGAGUGUAAAGUUAAUUGUGUUUAUGUCAGAUCUGAUUAAUUUUACAGCUAUCAAAUGCCUAGAUAAGAUAAGAACCAUACUGUAAGACCAAGACUUGCUAGAUAAAGGACUAAUAAUGAAAACAAAACCCCUCCUCCCCAGUACAGUGUUAACAGAAGCAGUACCAUUCUCUGGUUAAAAGUAACCCUACCAAUAAAGUAAUCCACUCGGUGGCCCAUCAUGUUGGUGGAUUUUGUCGGGCAGUUGAACCGUAAGUAUUUGGCAACAGCCUUCUCCUCUUUGAAUGGCUCACCCACCUCCUGCAACAGUAAAGGUGCAAAAUUAAUACUGGUUUAAACACGCAGAAAACGCUCGUUUGGGCUCAAAAAUCAGAAAUGGCAACAUCCUUGUUAUCUUAUGGCAGUGAUCCAGAGCUGAUGACUGUGAACUCAUUUAGCAGCUGUAGAAAGGACACGUUAAAGGAGGGACUAAGAGGCACGUACUGGGCACCUGGCAAAUGGGAAGCUGCUUACGAGGCUGGAUGAAAACAGUGGUGAAGCUGAGAGCAAAGGAAACCAACAGAGAGGAAUUAGUAUGUAUGAAAUGACAGCAACACAGGCGUAUCGACAGAACACAAAGCAGCUCAUCUUUCAUGUGAAGGAGGGGGGAAAACCACGUUGAAAAGAAGUAGAAACAUUUCUGCAGAAGUUUUCAGUAUUACUGCAUGACUACAAAAUGACAAACUUCAGAGCAGCAUCCAGGAGAUUCUGUGAAUCUAGGUGCUGGGAACAGCACGAUACAGCACGGCAUGAAGCACACGGAACUCCCAGACACACACUUUAGGAAAAGGGAGCCCUGUGAAAUGGAAACGCAAAGACAAGCAGAUGCUGCUACGCCAAAAUACAAACUUCAGACAGUGAGAGCUGUUAAUUUUCAACAGUUUGCACAGCUAACUUUCCAAGUCAACUGGUUAAUUAAUGACCCUCCUAGCAGAGAUCCCUGCUCUCCCUAUCUUUUUGCAAGAACAGGUUCAACAGACCUCCAAACUACCAGAAGCACUCUGUGGUUUGUUUCACCUGAGACUACUAUUUCAAGCUCAGUAAAACCUGUGUGAAACCCAUCCAGAUGAUCCUAACAGCACCCAUCCAGAUGCACUUUGUCCUUUCUCUGUGAUUUUACAAGUCUGUAUGAAACAUCAGGCAGCUCAUGGGAGGUUUCGGUUAGAUAUUAGGAGGAAGUUUUUCACCCAGAGGGUGGUGACGCACUGGAACAGCUUACCCAAGGAGGCUGUGGGUGCCCCAUCCCUGGAGGCAUUCAAGGCCAGGCUGGAUGUGGCUCUGGGCAGCCUGGGCUGCUGGUUGGCGACCCUGCACAUAGCAGGGGGUUGAAACGAGAUGGUCAAUGAGGUCCUUUUCAACCCAGGCCAUUCUUUGAUGCUAUGGUUAUUCACCAAUUGGCAGUGCACGUAUGUACAUAAUUGACGUACAGUGAUUUGAUGUCCCCAUGUACGGUACAGCUGUACCAGUAACUGUAAUUCACCAAUUACCUUACCAAUUUUAGUCCUAGACCACAUCUGAUUUAAUAGCAACAAAAUAAAUUCCUGGACAUUUAAAGAAAAUGAAUGAGCGUGUGCCAUGCCUGGUGCACAGAGCACACCAAGGUGCCAUGGAUACCAAUGACUAAACGCAGCAACUGCAUUUCAGAACAACACUUUUCCAACAGUUCCAACCAGCUGGUUACUCUUACAGCAACGAUGCACAAGGCAAAAGUUAUUCCUUCUGAGUUUGUAAAACAGCCGGAGAAGCUAAAGACAUUCACACCACUUAACUCCUCUGCUAGCACUGCACUUUUUUUUCUUCUUUAAAUAUUUAUGAUUCUGCUCAGCCAUAAGAUGUGCUGUGCAGGCAGCGGAUGGCACCAGCAGUUUUUUAUUGCUCCUUACUAUCUCUUGCUUUGUCCUCUUCUGUGGGAUAGUUCCAUAAUAAUCCAAGCAAAACCACUCUCCUGUGAGAGAUAUUGCCCGAGCUGAGCCAAGAGAAAGCUUUCCCUGCAAUCCCAUCCCCACUUGUCACCUUAAGCUCAGCCCUUCAUUUGUACAGCUGUGGUUUCAUCACAAUAUUACGACAGACGAAAGACAGCAAAGAAGUCUGCAUUCCAUCACAAUGUGAAUUCAGCACACGGUGGAGAUGUUGGUAUCCCAAGUGCAUGUUUUGAGCAAUGCAAUUCAACUUCAUGUUCAAAUGUGGCAACAGCCAACCACCAAUGGGCUCUUUAAGCUCCCCAUGCACUUAGAAAAGGAUUAUAUGGAUUAAUCAGGGGCCAGUCUAAAAUAAAUUAUAAGGCUUUAAAAUAGAUGAGAUGGUCUUAAAAAGCGCAGGAAAACUUUCUGCUAUUUCAAAGUUUGCUUUUAUUGGAAAGACAGAAAGCUUCAAGAAACACUUCAAACAAUGUAUCUACUGAAUGCCCUGAAAGGUCCUCCCGGUUAAUAUUCUACCAUCAAACUUCCCAGUAAGUGAAAAAUAGGACACUGCAAUGUUUCCAAAUACUUCUGCAGGAGGUUUUAUUUUACACCCUUGCAUCUAGUUUAAUUUUAUGUACUGAAAACUCAUGGGAAGUUGAGAUCCCUGAUAAUUUACACAUUCUGGAAGGAUGCCAUUAAAAAUAAAACCAAACCAAAUUUCUUAUCUAGCCAGACAGAAGAAUUUCAGCUACAGGAGGGCGGGAGGAGCAGUGCUCAGCCUGCCCAGUUACUGCUAAAUGCCCUGAAAUACUGAGGCGUUUUUAAGAGUAACCCUCAAGAAUUCCUAUCAAAAUUGUGUCCUAUAGGAAUCCAUAAAGCAGGUCGGAGAUUUUCAAAGUAAAUGGAAAGCACUAAUCCAAUUCACUUCUUUCCAUUAUCUCCCAAAUCAAAGCAUAGCACAGUGCCUUCUGAACGGCCUUCAAUACACAGCUGUAGUUCCCAACUUAAUUAAACCUCUAAUUGGGGCCGAAACAAAAGAGGCCUGUGUACACUAAAAAUCAGAACAUCUGAACUGAGCUAUGAAAACCACUGUAGGCAGGGCUUCUUUCUUCCUUUCAUCUCUACCCGAGUAUGACUUAUUCAGGUUCUCCUGGCACCAUUCAGCGAAGGCCAAAAGACACAACUGUGGUUUGAAAUUUCACUCAUUUUUUUCUGCUCUGCAUCACAGGCACAACCCCAGGCCAGAGGAUUUCUUUCCGCAAUAGGAACAAAAUUUCUGGAAAAUCAGAACAGAGUAAAUGAAGAUUAUCACUAACGGGACAAGUUACUUCACAUGCAGACAAAAAUUACAAGGAUUUAUGCUCCUUUGUUUUAAAGGGGCCAUGAAAAUUCCUUGAUUUCAAUGAAACAAGUGUUUAAUUACUUUCCUUUGCUCCUAAACCUGUGAAUUUUGGUUUUCAGAACCUUGUUUUUCAUGUAAGCAGCCUACAUUCAUUUGGGACACGGCCAGCACCACGUAUGAAAUACACGCAGACUAGAAAGCACUGACUCUUAACUCAUCAAUAAGUGCUGAGAUCCAAACCUGCACAGACAUUUUCCAGACUUUUCUUAACACCUAACUUACACUGCAGUAGGUGCAGUGAAUUCCCACUGGCUUGAAUGCUUGGGUGAACUCUACUAAGGAUCUAUCACCAUUUUAACCAUUUUAGGAAAGUGAAUCCAACCCUCAGGAGAAAAGGUCCCCCUGCAUCACCCUCUGCAAUUAAGAGAUCUGGGGGAUGGCCACCAAACAAAGGCAUCUUCCUGAACAGACCACUCUGAACUCACGGAUGGCAAUGCCAGCACUUCCCCGCAGCUCAGCGACAAGCUGUGGCUGCCUCCUGUUCUGCUGGGCUGAGGACUCAGCCAUCAGCAUCUCAGAAGGCGCCGGGCACAUCAGACUCUUGGGAUGCUACCAGAAUUUAUGAUAAAAAACCAACCAACAGACCAGUUGCAAUGCAAUUUGUGUUACUGGAACUGUUGCACUGUCACCUCAGAAGAGCCUUUCCAUUCGCUCACAAAGCCCGAACCCACAGGAAGCAGCAAUGCAGCUGUUGCACAUCUUCCUUCCAGCAAGACACAACACAACAACACAGUAGGACUGCUCAUCCUGAUUUCUAUCUGUCCAUCAUCAGGAGAAUCUCAAAGCACAAAUCCAGACGUCAAUUUGCAGUUGAGACAUUUGCCAAAUCACAGCCUUAAGCAGUUUCCUCUAUUUAUAAAAGCGGUAUUUAUACACAUUAACAUUUCUAGAGCAGAGGGCAGGGCAUAAGAUGCUACACAAGCGCUAUUAACCGCAGUGCAAACACAGCUCCACAUGGGCACAAUAGAGCCAUGCGUGGUGGAAUCUGGCCAACAUAAUUAAAACUUAAUGCCUACUUAACAAUCAAAUUGCAAACCUGCCAAAGUGCCACACGCUCCCCAACCUGUCAAAGAAACUGACUGAAGAUGCUGUGUUUACAUCAGCACUGUGGGACCGACUGCUUUUCCCAAGAGAUGAAACAGCUUUUAUUGGGUUACUGGAGUAAAAGGUGUUCAAAGACACCCCGCUUCUUUUGAGGGGUAUCUGUCUGAACACACUCAUUUCUCUACCGCACGUCUGUGUUAAUUGCAGUUAAAUUACUGUCAGGAGCGAUGCUGGAAACUUUACCUAUAAGAUGUCUUCAUUCAGACUUCUGAAGUUAACAUCUCUGUGACUUCUGUAACUUUCGCCUGGCUGCCAGAGGAAGAGCCUGAGCUAUGCAACACAGAUUAGGCAAUGCAUUUGGUUUUAUAGAAUGCAUUUUCAUAACAAAUCCUUCCUGUUACCGCUUCCGAUGGGAAACACAUAAAGCAGGCUUGAAAGAAUUCUGAGCUGUUCUACUGAGCCUUUUCCACACCUCACUGACCUAUCAUCACCUCUGUUGUGAUGGAGGCUAUACAAUUAUUCAGAAGCUGAUUUCAGGGCACACUGCAGUUGUAAUUGAACUCUACACCAUCAGCCCUUCCCACAGCUACAGAUGUUGUUUUCUGCUAAAAUCUUACUCGUUUCAGGACAUACAGCUCUACUUAAUGACAAUGGGGCACUCAUAGGCCAGACCUGCAUAGAGUACAGCAAGCAGCCUCGUUAUUAGGGGGCACGGAUCACCCUAGGACAAGCAUGCGCUUCCCAAGUGCUUCCAACACCUACAAACAAAGGCCUCAUUCUCCCUUUUGAGAGAAGAACCUUGCAGAGCUAUCCUGACACGCGUUAAUCACACGGGGACCGCGGCAAGAAAGCUUAAAAAGUUUAUCAGGAAAACUAAGCCAGAAAAAUACAUAUUGCUUUAUUCACUCUGCCCAAUUAAGAGCAGCCUCAGGGCAUUCAAUGGCCUUCUUUGUUCAUUGUUUGGCCUCCCCGCUGUUGUUGACAUACACUGGGAAACUACCAAGAAGCAACAGACAUUUAUCAUAAUUAUAUCACAACUUCGGGCCACGACCUAUAACCACGUUAACGCAGAUGCAAUCACUAACAAAUCUGUUGCUCACAGGCUGGGAGUAAGCUCGUGCUUAAGCCCGGAGCCCUGGGUGUUACACGGGGCAUUUGAUUACAUUUGGCUGCUUUUGAUGGAUGCCCCACUGGGCCGCCGCUGUGUGAGAACUGAAGAGCAGAAAGGACCCAGUGCUGCACUGCCACAGCUCUGCCCUCCUGGUGAGGGGGAAGGACAGCAGGGGAGCUCGGAGGGCAGCGAGGCACAGGGAUGAGGUACGGAGCUUAAGUCUGUUGGACGGCGCUACGACUCCUAUCGCAAGUAUUAUCUCCCCUUCCAGCGCAGCCAUAAACCCUAAACAAACAUUGCCGAGCGUGGGGGUUAACAACAGAGGGCACUGAAUAGUUGUUAUAGUAACCGAUGCUGUCAGCACCGCGACACCUGCGCUGCGUGCUCCGGGAACAGCCGCUCGGCCCCGUCCUGCGUGGGCACCCGGGCAGCCCCCACGGCACCACACCACGGCACCACACCACUGCCCCCGCAUUCUAAGA